ensembl:lncRNA
UAAGUAGAGGACCAUGAGAGAAAGGAUGCAAGCAGGCUGGAGGGAGAAGCCCCAACUGAUGGUCAUGAGAAAUGGACACCUAUAGACUUACAGUUACAAGGAACUGGAUUCUGCCACCAACCUAACUGACCUUGGAAAGAGAUUCAUCUCCAGAGCCACCGGUAAGAGCCCCACUGACACCAUGGUAAGACACUGAGGAGAGAACCCUGGCAGAACCCACCCAGAAUUCUGACUGUACAGAUUUGUGAGACAAUGAACAGCCACUGUGAGACAAUGGUUUUGAAGCUACCCAGUUUGUGGUAACAUGGUAACCUGUUAGGCAGCAAUGGAAAACUAAUACAGGCAUUUAAACAGAUGAAUGAUAAAAGCAAAGCCCUUUUAUCAUAAUCUUUCUAACCAUACCUUUAACAUUAGAAAAAGCAUAUUUGGGAAUAGUCCAAUGAGUUUAACUUCCCUUUCUUUACUAAUUAUUUGCAGAGGCCUCUUUGCUCCAUGGAAAGCCUGGGCCCUCAGCCAACAGGGGGUCCCUGGGCCUAGAAGUCAGAGCAAGAUGCAGUGAUGACCUAUACUUAAUGUCCAGAAAAGGGCAUUACUCCAGGAAUCAGAGUGAUACCCCCUCAUACCAGCAACCAAAGACUUGCCAACACCAGGUCCACCCCGGCCCCCACUGUCUGAUCAAGUCUUGGCUUUGGAGGAACCUGCUUUUGGGAAGAACUGACCAGCGGAAAUGGAGGACCUCGGCUGCAUCCCAGGUGCUCCCCCUGGUGGGCAAAUGUCCCUGGACAGUAAAGAAAUCCCCCAGAUUUGUAAACCCCAAACAAGAUCACAACCUUCCCUCCUCAAAAUCUUUCAUUCUUACUCUCCAACCCAGAGACACUGUUGGUUGGCUGAUCUGGUGGCUACCUUACCUUUAUGACAGUCCCUGGACUCCCUCUGCCCCGCUGUAACGCCACUGCCUUCUCUGGUUCCUCAAGCACGUCAUUUCCAGCUCCUUUCUUCCUCAGAGAUCUCUUCAGCUUUGAACCUCUUCUUUUGUUUUUAGCAGUAGCACUGAGGAUCGAACUCACCCAUGCUAGGCAAGUAGUCUACUGCUGGGCUAAACCCCCAGCCCUUUUUAAAUUUUUUAUUUUGAAGUAAAGUCUCACUAAGUUGCCCAAGCUGGCCUUGAACUUUUGAUCCUCCCUGUCUCUGCAUCACCCCCUCCAAGUAGC